GAGAAGGGCGUUUGGUGGAUGCCUUGGCAGUAAGAGGCGAUGAAAGACGUGAUACUCUGCGAUAAGCCAUGGGGAGCUGAGAAUAAGCUUUGAUCCAUGGAUUUCCGAAUGGGGCAACCCACCUGACAGUUUCAUAUUGUUGCGCAAGCACUCAAUAUGUCGCUGAAACAGGUACUUUUAACCUGAAUACAUAGGGUUUUAAGAGCAAACCCGGGGAACUGAAACAUCUAAGUACCCAUAGGAAGAGAAAGAAAAUUCGAUUCCCUGAGUAGCGGCGAGCGAAAAGGGAACAGCCCAAACCAGAGAGCUUGCUCUCUGGGGUUGUAGGACUGGACAUUUGAGUUACCAAGAAACGAAGUAGUUGAAUGAUUUGGGAAGAUCAGCCAGAGAAGGUGAUAGCCCUGUAAACGAAACUUCGUUUCCUCAGCCCAGUAUCCUGAGUACGGCGGAACACGUGAAACUCCGUCGGAAUCCGGGAGGACCAUCUCCCAAGGCUAAAUACUCUCUAGUGACCGAUAGUGAACCAGUACCGUGAGGGAAAGGCGAAAAGAACCCCGGAGAGGGGAGUGAAAUAGAACCUGAAACCGUGUGCCUACAACAAGUUCGAGCCCGUUAAUGGGUGAGAGCGUGCCUUUUGUAGAAUGAACCGGCGAGUUACGAUAUGAUGCGAGGUUAAGUUGAAGAGACGGAGCCGUAGGGAAACCGAGUCUGAAUAGGGCGGAUUAGUAUCAUGACGUAGACCCGAAACCAUGUGACCUACCCAUGAGCAGGUUGAAGGUGCGGUAAGACGCACUGGAGGACCGAACCAGGGCACGUUAAAAAGUGCUUGGAUGACUUGUGGGUAGCGGAGAAAUUCCAAACGAACUUGGAGAUAGCUGGUUCUCUCCGAAAUAGCUUUAGGGCUAGCGUCGACAUUAAGAUUCUUGGAGGUAGAGCACUGUUUGGGUGAGGGGUCCAUCCCGGAUUACCAAUCUCAGAUAAACUCCGAAUGCCAAUGAAUUAUGGUCGGCAGUCAGACUGCGAGUGCUAAGAUCCGUAGUCGAAAGGGAAACAGCCCAGACCACCAGCUAAGGUCCCAAAAUAUAUGUUAAGUGGAAAAGGAUGUGGCGUUGCCCAGACAACUAGGAUGUUGGCUUAGAAGCAGCCAUCAUUUAAAGAAAGCGUAACAGCUCACUGGUCUAAAUAAGGGUCUUUGCGCCGAAAAUGUAACGGGGCUAAAGCCAUUUACCGAAAUUGUGGGCUCGUAAGAGCGGUAGCGGAGCGUUCCGUAAGCCUGCGAAGGUGCACUGCGAGGUGUGCUGGAGGUAUCGGAAGUGAGAAUGUUGACAUGAGUAGCGACAAAGCGGGUGAGAGACCCGCUCGCCGAAAAUCCAAGGGUUCCUGCGUAAAGCUAAUCUGCGCAGGGUUAGCCGGCCCCUAAGGCGAGGCCGAAAGGCGCAGCCGAUGGGAACCACGU
rnacentral:rRNA from 1 species